AUCAAACGAGCAAGAUCGGCUCAAUGGCCUCCUCUUGUUUGUAAUCUUUCUUGUAUUCUUAUGUUCUUACUCUGUACUUUUCUACAACUGUACUUCUCCCACGCUGUCGCUGUAUGAACUGCCUUGCUUUUGUUUGUGUCUGCUGGUGCUUGUAGCUCCGCCCCUCCUCCUUGUCUCAGAACGGCACCGAAUUUGAAUUAGCAGCUCUGAGCUUCAGCUUGUUAUCGGAAAAAGACACUCAGCUGUUAGAAUUUAACCUGCAGUAAUUUCCCAAUUUACUGUGUUUUCUGAUUAAAGCAAUUAAAGAUGUAAUUUCUCCUUACUGCUUCUAACUUCUCUGUACUUUUCCACGACUCUACUUCUCCCACGCUGUCGCUCCUCACUGUCGUUGUAUGAACUCCCUUGCUUUUGUUUGUGUCGCGGUAGUCGUCGAUAGCACUCUGGCUAUAUUUUUCUACUUUUGUUCUAAGAGCAUCGAGUAAUUGUUGAUGCUUUGCAGAUUCCUGUGCCCUGAAAUUUGUUGAACUUCUGUCAGAGGUAUGUCUGCAUCUACAAACUUCUGAAUUGAUGUUUUUCUUGUACAAUGGUUAGCGUUGCAUUUUGUUUCCCACAAGCCUGCAUCAGUUUUUAUGAGUUUCAUUAGUGAUCUUAUCUUUGUUUUCUCCUACUGUCAUUGCCCUAUACCACAGCGUUACGCCUAGUUUGCCAUUUAUAUUAGGUGCAAUAUUUCCUUAAUGCAGUUAAAAAAAGUCCUUCCAAAAGAAAGGCUGUACUCCAUAAAACUUGCCUUUUCUGCCUCCUGCUGACCAAGGUUAAGAAAAUAAGGAAUAAUGCAGUGGCAAUAUCAGAAGAAACAAAAAGGCUUGUGAAACAGUUUUUUGAAAGUGUUGAUAUUUCAAGGCAGGCUCCAGGGAUUAAAGAUGUAGUUACAGAGAAAGAGGGUGGAAACUGCAGAAAUAUCACCUCUCCAUGUCGAUGCUGAAAACCUAUCACUGCUUCAAAGAGGAUGACUAUAGGGAUCAGAACUCACUUUUAAAGAAGUAGAAAGCCUACGCAGCCACAGCUAUCACCUGUGUGUUUCAAUGUCGGGGAUGCUAGUGGAAAAGAUGGCAAAUUACCUCUUGAAUGCCCAGAUUAUCACCAGGUUCGAGUGUGAUGUCAUCAAAUCGAAACCUGUGAAACUGGAGAAGGCCUCAGAGCUUCUUUCCACCAUAAUACGUAAAGGGCAGAGAGCUUGUUUGAUCUUUUACCAAACCCUGGAAACAUGCGACCCCUUCCUAUGUGAAAGAAUAACAGGAAAAACAGCAAGAACAGUACAUUCUGUGCCAGUAAUGACUCAGACAAACUCAUUUCCCCAGAUUGUCCAGAAGGAAACUAACACAGAAGUAUUUUCACAAAAGAGUGGACAUAGCUCAUCCCCUUCAAAUUGUACCAUUGCCAUUUAUAAUUCUAAGCUAAGCGGUUGCAUAUUUGGUAGCAACAACACCUUGUGUAUUAUGAGAGGAGGAACCCAUGAAGAUCCUGAAGAGUACAGCAAUGCUUAUAACAAUUAUGGAAAUAAACCAAAACGAUUUUGCAUGGAUUUCAACUCUGAGAUACAACAGUCACUACCAGUACAAAAACCUGCUGUGCCACUACUUACCAGGAGCAUAGAAAUAGUCACCUCAGACGUGGAGUAUGUGACUGCUGGCAAUAACAAUGUACUGAAAGUGGAAGUGGCAGAGGAUCAAGAAAGUGAAGAAGAGGAACCUGGAAGAGGAGACUGAAAAUUGACAAGCAUUUCUGGUGCUUUAAGAUCUCUGUGGUAAUGCAUUCAAAAGUUGUCUGAUUUGAGCUUGUUUGAUGGUCAUCUCAAGAGCUGCAAUAUGGAUGGUUAAAUCACUUUGUGAAUGCUUCAUCAAUUAAUCUCAAAUGACAUGGAUACAUUCAGCUACUGUUCUAUGUAGCACACUAACCCAGUAGAAGAAGAUCAAAGAACAGAGUUGUGUACCAAACAUUAAGAAAAUUCAAAGUUCACUGUCUCAAUACAGCAGCAACAUAAACCUCAUUAUCAAAAGCCAAUGUUAUACACUGUUUAAAUUACUCACUUUGUGACCGCUUUGGUCUGUUUUUUGCUGUACUGUGAAUGCAUCUAUCGGUUCCACACACAGGCACGUGGUGAGCAGCGUCCUCAGUGUCGGUGUCUCUCAUUGCAUCUAUCCCUGAGUCGGUUCCAUGCACAGGCACGUGGUGAGCAGCGUCCCCAUUGUCGGUGUCACUCAGUGCAUCUAUCCCUGAGUCGGUUCCACGAACAGGCACGUGGUGAGCAGCGUCAUACUCAGCUUAAGCCGCGGACAUGACAGACCAGAGUGGUCAGAGCUGGUGCUUGCUACUAUUUUUUUGUAUUGGCUAUUCUGGGCAGUUUCACUCAUGCACAGGAUCCUGGACAUUAAUUUUGGUAACUGCUGUUAAGAGGCAUGAAAAGUACACUUGUCUGAUAAUAUAACAAAAACAGAGAACCAACAAAAUACUGCAGUUUAUUUCAUAUAAUAUGUAUUUGUUUCAUACUGUAUUGUCCUCUAAUGUUUACUUGAAAUGUGUCCUGCAUACAAUAACAAUACAUGACAAACUUGUUAAGAUAAAAAUAAAUCAUAAUUACAAAAUAAAGCACCCUUCAACAAUUUCACCUCCAAUACUAGUAUCAUAUUCAAGCGCACGUUUUCACUGCAGAAUUACUCACCCUGAUAACUACUUACCACUGUAUCUAACUUUUAACAAAUAAAUACAGUUACCCUUAA